GGGCCCGCACAAGCGGUGGAGCAUGUGGUUUAAUUCGAUGAUACGCGAGGAACCUUACCAGGGCUUAAAUGUAGUGGGACAGGUCUAGAGAUAGACCCUUCUUCGGACUCAUUACAAGGUGCUGCAUGGUUGUCGUCAGCUCGUGCCGUGAGGUGUCAGGUUAAGUCCUAUAACGAGCGCAACCCCUAUCGUUAGUUGCCAUCAAGUAAAGUUGGGAACUCUAGCGAAACUGCCGGUGUAAACCGAGAGGAAGGUGGGGAUGACGUCAAAUCAUCACGGCCCUUACGUUCUGGGCUACACACGUGCUACAAUGGUAGGGACAACAGGUUGCCAACCCGCGAGGGUGAGCCAAUCCCAAAACCCUAUCUCAGUUCGGAUCGGAGUCUGCAACUCGACUCCGUGAAGUUGGAAUCGCUAGUAAUCG
rnacentral:rRNA from 1 species